AUUGAACGCUGGCGGCAGGCCUAACACAUGCAAGUCGAGCGGAUGAAGGGAGCUUGCUCCUGGAUUCAGCGGCGGACGGGUGUGUAAUGCCUAGGGAUCUGCCUGGUAGUGGGGGAUAACGUCCGGAAACGGGCGCUAAUACCGCAUACGUCCUGAGGGAGAAAGUGGGGGAUCUUCGGACCUCACGCUAUCAGAUGAGCCUAGGUCGGAUUAGCUAGUUGGUGGGGUAAAGGCCUACCAAGGCGACGAUCCGUAACUGGUCUGAGAGGAUGAUCAGUCACACUGGAACUGAGACACGGUCCAGACUCCUACGGGAGGCAGCAGUGGGGAAUAUUGGACAAUGGGCGAAAGCCUGAUCCAGCCAUGCCGCGUGUGUGAAGAAGGUCUUCGGAUUGUAAAGCACUUUAAGUUGGGAGGAAGGGCAGUAAGUUAAUACCUUGCUGUUUUGACGUUACCAACAGAAUAAGCACCGGCUAACUUCGUG
rnacentral:rRNA from 1 species